rnacentral:lncRNA from 1 species
AAAUGCCAUGUUGCUCGAAUCAAGAGUGAUUAAAGCUUUCUUCAUUUAUGCGAUAUCAAUCUUUGUCAUCUUUAUGUUGACUAGCACGAAGCAAACCUACAAUGUUCGACCCUUACUUUAUAUCGGUAAGUACCAGCAAGGAGUUUGUCUCCUAAAUCCAGAAAAUUAAAGGCUGAUAUUGUAAUCAUUCAUGAUUUGUUAUGCAUGUACAUAUAAUAUCAACCAUUGAUUUGUUCGUCAACUAUUUAAAUUUCUCAUCUGCUCUCCAACUCACUUUAGAGUAGCCAAAUUUGCAAACUAUGUCUUUAGUUUCUUAAACCUUGAAAUAAUUAUUGGUUAAACAUAACAUGUUAUGGAUUUUAUAUUUACAGAGCUUUGUGUUGCUCUAUUUUUGGAAGUAUUCAUUAUUCGUUUAACGAAUGAUGACAUAGAGCAACAAACAUGGAUAAUAAACAAGGUCCGAUUAUUUUUUACGGUAGCUGCUUCGGCUCAACUUACGUAUGCUAUUGUCACAUACAGGUAAGUAUACAACUAAUAAACAUUUCAUUCAUAUCUAAGUUUUAAAUCUAUCCAAAACUCAUUUCAAUAUUGGUUGUAAAAACAAUAAAUAAUAAAAGAGAAUUGGUUGCUAAUCAUGCAGGGAUUAUGAAAGGUUGAACCAUCAAAUGCUCCUAACACUAAUUAAUAAGAUAAACAACAUGGAAAAAUUGAAGGAUUCAAAUUGGGAUUUCGAUACUACUGAUUAUGUGGAUUGGUCUCAGUUGAUAGGUACUGAUUUACCUGAUGAUGUCAAUUGCCUUGAUGAUCCGGACUUUGUGAUUCCAGAAGAAGUUGCAGAGAAUUCAAUCACAAACUCCACAACAAAAAAUUAUAACUUACGCUCACGCAAUCGUUUACAUUGAUUUUUCUUACCACCACAAGCACACUACUAUUUUGAACUGGUAAUUAGAAACUUGAAAUAAUCUAUGUACAGCAAGUUAUUUCCUUAAUGUAUUUUCAUGACUAUGGAUUAUAUAUACUAAUGAAUAUGUAUGCAUGUGAUCAUAUGUGAAGGUUGACAUUCUGGACACUCACACUUCAGUUAAAGUUGUCAGUUUAGAAUAACUUAAAUAAUGAUACUCACUCUAUGAGCAACAUCUUAGAAAACUGAGCUUAUAACCAGUUUGUAGAGAUAAAAUUUGAUGACAAUGCAUACACCAUGAUUGCUCCUCACAACUUCUAACCAAAUUGAAAUGAACAUAAUUCCUUAUUUUAGUUUGAUUGUUCUCAAUUUUUGAAUUUAUAAUUUGCACCCACAAAAUAAAAAAUUGAAGAAAAAAAAGCUGAAAAUGCGAGAGAUGAAACCAAGGGAAAAACAUGGGGAUUUUAGAAACUUGAAGUUGUCAGAAGAACAAAUGCAAAAUAUCACAACCAUUUGAGUCUUAUGAGGCUUUGAUGACGACAAUGACAGUGUCGAAGGCAGUGUCAUCCACCGUAAAUGGAAAGUUAUUGGGCGAACCAAAAACGCCCACAAAUAUGGUAGCAUUCAGUCCAGUCCAAACCAUCUGGAUCAUCCAGUCCGAAUCAAAUGAUAUCUUCCACAAUUUGCUUACAGCUAACAAUUGUCUAGGUAAAGAUUCAAGGACAAAAACUCUAAAUCUACACCAUAAAUACUAACUCAGGGGCAUUGGUUCAAAUACGCACACAUUUCAUCCUAAAUUACCUAAUAGAUCCGCGAUGCUUACAAAUACAAAUUUAAGUAUUGAGUGUGUUCGCAAAUACUAUUCCUUGCCGUCAAAGAAGAAGAUUGCCGACGAAGGUCCUACACCUAGAGGCCAUUCAACACCACCAUCAAAAUAUCUCAGAUGACAGGAGAUGUCAACGGGGCAGGGUCGGCAAAAAGUACACUCCAGCUCCUUGUUCCCAUCCCACAUUAGUGAGUCUAUCUCCUCCAUCUUUAUAUAUCUAGAUUCAAUUUUUGUGGAUGAAAAUCUCAUAUGAUUAAACAAGAGGACUAGAUGUAGGUAACAAGAUAGGAUAUGCGACUGAAUCAGAAUAAAUCUCGGUGUCAUCUUAGUUACCCUUCUCUCUUUAAAUUUCAACAAUUUAGUUUCAAUUACUCUUGUUCUAUGGUUUUUCAUUGAAUUGUUUCCGGUAUAGUUAAAAUCUGAGAAUUGAUAGAAAUGUUUCUUUCUUUUAUUAGAAUAUGAGUUAGCUACUUUGUGAUGACUCAGCAGAGUUCGUUACACUUUUUUUUUUUUUUUACAAAAGAGUUAAAAAAUGAAGGACAGAACAGAACAACUCCAGUUGUCCAGUGUUUGAUUUGUAAAACUGUUCCAGAUACAAGACAAACGGGAGGCAAAUGACAUGACAAAAACUCAUAUUUUUGUCCCUCACCAAACCACAACAAAACUUUUUGUUCUACGUACAAGUUGUCUAAAAUACCAAAAAUCGUAUAAAACAAAAAAUUACUCAUUGUCAUAAAAAAAUUUAUCCUGUGCUGUUCUGCCUUGUGUUGUGCUGUUUUGUCUUGUACUGUUCUGUCCAGUACUUAUUGCUUGCAAACCAAACACCCCCUUAGUUAGACAUGUAAGGCAUUGUUUGGCUUAGAGCGGAUAACACCAUGCACUAGACUACGUACUCUAAUAUGUACUUCAUUUAGUCAAAUCUACGAACAAAUAUUCUUUUUUUGAGUUCAUUAAAUAUCUGGUAUAUUUGGACUGUAAUAUAGUACAAAUACAUAAUUAUUAAAUGAAUCUAAAAAAGUUAUAGUUGCUUAUAAGUGUUAUUAGAGGGGGUUUGUAUUCUUUCAUUUCAAUGAAAAAUACUUUGUAAAACUUUUAAAAUUGAACAAUUCUAUUACCUUAUAAAUGCAUAUAAAUUUUUAAAUUUAGCAUUGUAAUCUUAAAGUAUCGAUUUAAGUUACCUUGAAGAUAGUUGUAAAAAUAAUUAUUAGUGUCACUUUUUUUUUUUUUUUGACAAGAUAGUGUCACUUUUAUUAAUAAUUUUUUUCAUUCACCAAUUUAAAAAAUAAAAAUCUACUUAUAUAUGAAGAGACGUGAAUAUGAGUGCGAAUAUGUUAGGCUGACCUAGGUUUUCUAAUAGUUUGUUCUAUGAAAAAUUUUAAGGCUUAAAUCUCACUUGGAGCCUAUCAUAGGCUUAUUAUUGCCUGGAAAGCAACUCUUCUUACUUUCAUUUUUGCUCUUCACACACCGCAAAGAUACCAAAUCGCUCCACAACAUCAUUUUCCGAGCAACAGUUAACUAUUGUGGGGGGUAUUUUGGUAUUUUUAUGGUGUGUGGGAACACAAAUUAAAGUGAUAAGAGCAAUUUCCUUUUCCCUGAAUUUGACCUUUUGAAAGUCUAAUAUGAAUUACUAACCCGUUUAAAAGCUUAUGUCAUUUGAACAUAUUUGAAACUGAUGGGAGAUUAAUGUUUCUUAAAAAAAAAAGAUGGGAGAUUAAUGUGAAUGUACUAAAAAAAAUAUAGGAAGUUUUUGGUUUUUAUAUAACUAGGGAAAAAACAAUAAAUGAAUUUUGUUUAGGGGAAAAACAAUAAAUAUAUUUUGUUAGUGACGCCCCAAAAUGAAAAAACUUUGUGCUAGUAUAACUCGUAACAAGAGAAUGGCUAAAAAGGAAAAUUCUAUUUAACCAAAAGAAAAAAUUGCAUGCCACUUACUUAUUUCUGAUGACCGCUAGGAGAUUUCCAACGAAGCAAAAUCUUCCAAAAUCUAACUUAAGUCACAUAUCACCAACCUAAAGUGACCUGUUGCAGAAAGUAGGGGUAUAUGAUAUAUGCUAUGUGCAUAGGUAAUGAUGGUAAUCAUUUAUAAUUGAUGCAUAAAAGACUGUGUGCAUGCGUCUCCACCGUCAUCGACCUCAAAACCUUCGUCCUGACCUCCCUCUCCUCCAAAGACAACAACUUUCUCAUCCUCUUUCGCCACCACCACCAUUCUCAGCCACCGUCUAACCUUCUCACCACCACUGUCGCUUCAGAUCUAACACCAUCAUCGCACCACCGUGAACUCAGAAUCCAGAAACAAGAGGAAGAAGAACAGAAAAAUGGAUUUGCUCGUUUUACUGGUCGUGAGAGAAAGAGAGAGAGAGAGGAAAAGAGAGAAUGUGGGGAAACUGGAACGACUUGUUUGAUUUUUCUUUUAAUUUAAUUUUCUUUUCUUUUACUUAUAAAUAAAUUAAAAUUAAAUUAAUUUCUAAGAAAGCAAAUGAUGCCAGGUGAAGGUGGUACAAGGGGUUGAUGGAAAGAAAGGGUGUUCAUCAAACAUAAUCAAAUAAAUAAUAUUUGUUAUAUUUACUUAGGUAGGCUGACUUGAUAGAUUUAAAAGACUUUUUUUAUGGAAUCAAGCUUGGCAUUAUUAUUAUUAUUGACGGACAGCAGAGAGUCCAAGUAACAGACUAAAUCUUCCAAUCCCAAUGCUAAUCCUAAUCCCUUAUGAAUGGCUGUGAGCUCAACAAGAAGAAAAAAUGAAAAUAAUAUCCUUCUAAACAAACCUAAGCCUUCUCUAUUGAAAAAAAAUGAAAAAAAAAAAAUCAAAUCCUGAAAUGGAUUUUUCGCAGGUUAUAGAGUUGUCAAAACGGGCGGUCCCGCCCGUUUAGGGCCGGCUCUAAUGGGCUUCGGGCUUUAUCGGGCCGGGCCAAAAAGCCCAGUUGAAAAACGGGCUUGAAAUAUAAUACCCGAGCCCGGCCCUACACGGAACGCAGGCUUAACGGGCCGGCCCGUAUUAAAAAUUAUAUAUAUAUAUAUAUAUUUUUUUUUUAAAAAGUACUAUAAAAUACUCCUAUAAAUUUUUUUUUAUAAAUAAUAUUUUUAAUAUGUUUAAAUAAUGCCUAGAACAAAAAUAAAUCGUAAACAUUUUCGUACAAACGUCGUAAACUAAAACGGCGAGGAAAACAAUUUAAAAUAAAUUAGAUACGUUAUGGUUAUAGAUAUUUAUAUAUUCGAUCUUUAAAAUUAUAAAUAACGAAACGAGUAAAUAUAAUUUUAUAUUACAUGUAUAUUUAUGCUAAUUCAUUGAAUUUUCACUUUUAUUUAUUACUUUGAUAAUCAACUAAGUAAAAAAUAUAUCUAAUUUAUAGGAUUUUUUUUGUUAUGCGGGCUAGCGGGCUACCCUCGGCCCGUUCGGGCUAGCCCUAAUGGGUAGCGGGCUUUUUAAGGCCGGGUUAAAAAGCCCUAUUAAAAUUCGGACUCAAUAUUUAAGGCCCAAACCCUAUAUUUAAUCGGGGUAAACGGGCCGGCCCAUACGGCCCAGCCCGUUUUGACAGCUCUAGCAGGUUAGGUCGUAUGUCCAUAUAAGCAAGCCUAACCUAUUCCCACCUCAAAUAUAAUAUUUUUUUUGUAUUUUUUGUUUUAAUUUUACAUCAAUUUAAAUUUAUUUAUUUACAAUUUUUUUUAUCUAAUAAAAAAGUUUUUAAAUGUGAAUGGUAAAAUAAGUUGGUUUUGAUUGUGAAUGGUAAAAAGAAAAGAAGAGUGAACCGGCGAGUUUAUUUUGAACCGGUUGGGUUGAGUCAUAUGGUUAUUUAUUGGAUUUCCCUCAAAACGGUUAACGAACACGACUUUCAAAUAAUCGAAUAUAAAAACCCUUUCCCUCCAAACACCAACAAUUCAACUAACCGCGCCAUUCUCCGACCACCGUAACCGUCCCUCGCCGGACCACCGUAACUGUCUCUGCAUUCUCGCCGGAGAAGCCAACAUCAUUCUUCUCAGAGCACUGGUAUUUCCGAUUGUUUUUCUGUGUUUUCAGUAACAUAACAGUGUGCAAUUCUUGCUUGAUAUUGCAAUGAAUUGCGUUUUCGAUCUCACAUUCUUCAUAAAAUGCAGUUUCAGUGGUUGAAUGAUCUUCGCUUAUAGUCCUUGUUGUUUUGAUUCUCUUAACAUUGAAACGGAGAAAUUUUGAAUACAUUCUUGAUAAAAUGCAGUUUCGAUGGUUGAAUGAAAUUUGAAUAUCGCUUGAUGCAUAUUAUUUUUCGAUUUUUCAAUAGUUUUUGAGCAAUCUUUGGAAUGAUUUAAGUUUAAUCUUGAUUUGAGAAAAUGUGAAUAUGUGUUUUUUCUUCUUUUCAAUUGGUUGUAUACAGCGAGUUUCCCUGCGUCGAAUCACGAAAAGAAAAGCAAUCUUUGGAAUUUGGUGAUCCUCUACGAGUAAAGGUAUUAUGCGAAGAAUUAACAAAUUUCAUAUUUAAGAGUAUUCAUUCAUAGUGUUUCUGUAACAUAUGCAGUCCUUUAAAUUUAUAUUGAUUUUUACUUCUGCGAAUGUUUCGAUUGAUAAGAUUUUGGACCGUUCUAAUGGGUAACAAUUUAGUUACUUCAUGGAGUCCUUUAAAUUGUAUAUCAUUGUUGAUUUGAGAUUAAGAAAUUUCUUUCUUAUAUGAUUGAUUCCUCUUCUCAUUGAAAUUCCUCAUAUUCAUUGAAACUACUUUGAAUUAAUAUUGAAUUUCAUCUGAUAGUUUAUCCCAUGAAUUAAUUAAAGUUAGAUGUAUGUUUUCCAACUACGAUGAAUUCCAAAGAAUCUAACAACUUAGGUGCUUCACUGAGUAAUUUCAUCUGAUUUGGGACUUAAAACAUUCCAUAAUUUCCCUAUUGAUAUAAGGUGUUACAUCCCUUGCCGAGACAUUGUAUAGCAUCAUGCAGUUCCUUCUUUGAUGACUAAUCGCUUUUUGGUAUAUGUACCUUGAUUUCUGUUUCUCAAUUGUUACUGUAACCACAAUUCUGUUUGUCUUGUUUGGUUGCAUACAUUUAUAUGCUUUCUUGUGUUGACUUUGUUGAAAAGUUGCACCUUGAUGGGCCAGCUUUCUAGUUGCUAUAUCUUGUUUUUGUAGUCUCUUCAUUUAUCAAUAUUGUUUCUGAUUUGGUUUUGUUGGAUGGCUGUAAUACAGAUGAGUGAUGAUGAGACAGAAUUUCCUGACAGUACCGAUUCAUCUGGCAGUACUGAUGAGUUAAUUGAAAAGCUUGAGGAUGAACUAGAUGAUGAUGGUUCAGACAACUCAUCGUCAGAUGAAGAAGCUGAAAGCCAAGAUUCCAGGUGCUCUCCAUCACCUAUUUCAUAUUACAUGUGUUACAAUAUUAGUUAAGCAGUUGCCUUGGUGAUUUGUGAGAAGACUAAACAUUGUUUAGAUAAAGAGUACUGUGGUGCUUAUAUAAAUGAAUUUAUCUGAAAAUUUGGUUCUUAUAAAGUGCAAUGACUCUAUUCAGUAGGAACAAUGUUUAUUAUUGUAGUGGUCUCAACUUUGAUAGAGUGAUUCUUGUUUCCAAAACCUCAUGAAAGAUUGUCAUGCAAGUUUCAAUUACAUUUAAGGCAUUGCCUUUAUUACGAGAUAAAGGAACACUGAAUAUUACCUAAUUAUGUCAUUUCUUCUUAAGUCAAAUGAUAACAUGUUUUUAGCUAUGGUUUGCUUAUGUAUCUUCACUGCUGUGUGAAAACUUAUUUUUUUGGUUUGUGGAUUUGUGAAUCAUUUAAGCAUAAAGGAAUGUUUUAGAAAAUUAUAUAGCUCAAACUAUUGUGAGAUAUAUGGACUCAAAUGACCUAUUUUUAGACAUGUUCCAUAAGAUAACAUUUUUGUGUUGUUUGAUCCAUGUAUUUGACUCCAACUAUUAGGAAAACACUUUGAUUCUUGUUGUUAUUGUGGAAUUAUGAACCAAUUAGCAUCAACCUAUGGGAGAAAUAUGGUUGUAGGGUUCCUAUUAUUUUUUGGUUAUUUAUGUUGAUUUUGUCUAAGAGACUAUAAUGUAUUCUUUGAUUCAUGUUUUCUGAUCAAAUUUCACUCUGCUACACUUUAUUGUACAAAUUUAAAUAGAAUUAAAAGACUUAAGUCUGAUAGCACCAGUGAAACUAAGGCGUCUACUUCAGCAGGAACCGCGGAACAAAAAUUAGGUAAUUUUAUUGUUGUAGUUGUUUCUUUCAUUUUCUUUGCUAGGAACAAGAUUCAAUCCCACAUCAAGUACAUAUAACUUUGCCAAAAAUUUAUUCACACAGUUUCUCCUUAAGAGCAAGUAAACCAAAACAUUUUUAAGAAACAGUUUCUCUGCCUUAAUGCUUUUUUGCACUAUUUCAUUGGUACAGCCUUAAGCUUGUUAGACUUGCAUUCUUAAGCAUAUGUUCCCCCCUUCACUUCAUCAUUAAACAAUAUUGAUUUUUUUAUUUACGGAGGCUUUUGUUUCUUAUAGAGAAAUGAACUAAUGAUGCAUGCACAAUCAAAUAUUUCACACCUCAUACUACCUUUUCUUUAGUCCAUUGUAUAACAAUACCGUAAAUUUAUUUCUAAAGGCUCUUAGAUUACGCAAAAUCUCUUCCAAAUAUUUGUGAAAAUAUGAUUAUGAAUCACAUACAACUUUGUCACUCUGUCUUAAAAAUGUUGUAACUCUCACUUUCUCUCACUCUCUCUAUAUUAAUACUUAAUUGUUGGAGUAUCAUCUGUGAAUGUAGAUGGAUGUAUGCAUCCUGGAUCAUUUGGAGGCAUUUGUAUACAUUGUGGACAAAAGGUGGAUGGGGAAUCUGGUGUGUCAUUUGGGUAUAUACAUAAGGUACAAUUUUUUUCUAAUGAUUAUCUUGCGGGGUACUAAUAACAUAGAUUUGGAUAGUUGUUGUUGCCACAUGUCGCUAUUUCAAUUGAUCAAAUUGAAAUAUUUGUUUAAAAGCUGAUUCCUGAUUCAGUGAUCAUGCCCAACAAGUAUUCCUGAUAUAUAAGCAUACAGCUGAAUGGUUGGUUAAGGAUGGCAAUAGGUAGUGUCGGUCCUCGUACAUGCUAACCGCAUUGCAACAAAGAAGUUCCAUAAGUAAAUAUAAACAUUGAGCCUAUAAAAGUACACCACAAUAAGGCAUUACAAAUUAAAUUUGUUCUUGUGUUCAAAUCUUUGAAUCGAAUCCAUAACACGGAAUUAACUAAAUUUUAAGUCAUGAAUGAAGUCAUAAGACCCUGUUUGAGUAAGUUUGUUCUACAAUUUUUUUUAUGACAUAUCCUCAUAUUUCAAGUCAUAAGACCCAUAUUUUUCACCAAGACCACUCGAGCAAGGUGCUGUUAUUGAUGAGGGAGAAUAAUUUGGUAGCCAACUAGAAUUAGGAUUAAGGAUUUGAUGAGCUCAGGUCAUUGUUGUAAGUCAGAAUUGGGACAAUCUAGAAUUUAGCACUAUUGAUUCAAACAAAUUUCAUAUAAAAUCAUUUAAAUUCUUUUUUGUCUUUACCUUUGAAUUCUUGUUGUAUCCUAUCAUAUACACAACCCAACUAUUUAUUCUGCAUAUAAUUUAUCCAAGCAACAAGUUAUUAAAUAUGGAAAUUUUUGUAUGUUCAGGGACUAAAACUUGAUGAUAAGGAAAUUUCUAGAGUGCGCAGCAGAGACGUGAAGAAUUUAUUAAAUCGUAGAAAGCUUUGCUUGGUUCUAGACUUAGAUCACACACUGCUAAAUACCACUUCCCUUCAUCGUUUGAGCCCAGAAGAAAUGCAUUUAAAAACCCAUACAGAUUCUCUAGAAGGUAAUAUGCCAACCGAUGCACCUUUUCUUUUCGUAAUUGUCAUAAUUAGUAUUUAUUAGAAGUUUUGAUUUAAUGCAUUUCCUCAUCAUUUUUGUUUUUAUGACGUUAAAGUUCAUCUAUUUUUUCAUUGUAACUUACUGUCAUAGAGCAUGAGACCUCGAUCUUAUUAUUUUUUUCAUCUUUUGCUGAAAGGCUAAAAUGCUGGCAUUAUACAGCUUUCUUGGUUUGCAGUUGUGUCUGUUAAAUGCUUUUGGAAAGUUUGCAACAAGCUUUAUGCAUUCUUUGUUUUCGAUUACACUGAAAAAUUUGCAGAAUAAACAUUCGUUCGUGUUCUUUGGUUGCUAAAAGACAGAUAUCAUUGUAUUAUUCUGCAUUUGCAAGUACCAUGCUGCACAUCAUCACAUAGAACAUCAUAAGUUAUAUAUAGAGUAGAUUCAUAUCCUCAAAAUUACAUCUCCUCCUAUAUCGACAAUAAGUUUUUAAAUAGAUUGAAAUACUUACUCAAAUUCAUACAUUUUAGUAAAAUUAGGGUAUUUCAAACUCAUUUAUAUGUUUCAUCAUCAUGAGUGCAUUUUCUUACUACUCUUUCUUGAUUUCACCUGAUGUUCUGGGUUUUUAUGGCUUUCUUUCUGAACUUGUAUACAAUGAAACAAUAGAUAUCUCUAAAGGUAGCCUCUUCAUGUUGGAGCAUGUGCAAGUAAUGACCAAGUUGAGGCCCUUUGUCCGCACAUUUCUUAAAGAAGCAAGUGAAAUGUUUGAAAUGUACAUCUACACCAUGGGUGAUCGGCAGUACUCAUUAGAGAUGGCCAGGCUGCUUGAUCCUCAAGGGGAAUACUUCAAAGAUAAGGUAAUUUCUCGAGAUGAUGGGACUCAAAAGAACGUGAAAGAUCUGGAUCUUGUGUUGGGGACAGAAAAUUCUAUCAUAAUUCUUGAUGACAAAGAAGAGGUGAGUGCAUGUCAGUACUCAUUAGAAUAAUUGCUGAUAGUUAAUUUAUGUGGAUGAUAAUCUCAUAAUAUUUUUCAUUUUACCUAUAUGUAUGAACAAAUUAAACACAGUUCUAUAAUCAAAUAAAUCUACAAUCAUAUGAAUAUAACCUUGAAAAACUAAUAGCCAUUCUACCACUCUUAGUUCUUGUAAACAUCAAAUGCAAAUGAAAGAAAAACUAAAUUAUUAAUUCCUAUGCCCGCCCUAUCUCUCAUUUCGAAGUUCAAUUUUUAGGUUCAUAUCAAUUUUUAUUAACUACUACUACUACUAGCAUAUCCGAUUCUUGUCUUUCUUGCGUAGUAGUUUUUCCUGAUUUUUUUAAUGUAGUAGUUUUUCCUGAUUAUUGGUUAACUUGGUGUUUUUAUUUUAAUACUUUUUUCAAAUUAUAUGAAUCAUUCCUCUAAAGUUUAUUCUCUAUAGACAAAGUUCAUAGAUUCAAAUGUGCAAAAGAUCUAUCCAUUUAAUGAUUCAUAUGUCAUUGUUUAUCAUUUGAGAAUCAAUAAACCAAAGUCACCUCCUUUAUUGAGAUGUAUGAAAAUGUUGUAGGUAUGGCCGAAGUACAGAGAUAAUCUGAUAUUGAUGGAGAGAUACCACUUUUUCAAUUCAAGUUGUCAGGACUUCGGCCUCCAAUGCAAAUCACUUGCUGCAUUGAAUAUUGAUGAGAAUGAAAAUGAUGGUGCGCUUGCCAAAAUACUCGAAGUGCUAAGACAGAUCAACUACAAAUUCUUCGAUGUAUGUCAGAUAAGUUGUUGAUAAAAAAUUUGUUGUAUUUGAUAUGUUGCUAAAACUGUGUUGUGGGGAUUUGUAGGAACUUCAAGGAGAUCUUGUUGAUCGAGAUGUGAGGCAGGUAGUUAGUUAUCUUGUUAUUCAUCUUUCUUCUGGUUCGUGCAUUUUGCUGAUGGAAAUAUAAGUUAAUUUGUCAUCCUAGUGUCAUAUUCUGAUAAUGUUAUGUUAUGCUUGCAAUCAAUUCUUGUUUUCCAGGUUUUGUCAUCAUUUCGAGGUGAAGUCUUAAGAGGAUGUGUGAUCGUUUUCAGCCUUAAUUUUCAUGGUGACUUGCGAAUACUCAGGAGGAUAGCAGAGCGGUUAGGAGCUACUUGUUUGAAAAAACUUGACCCCACUGUGACACAUGUAAUUGGUACAGAUUUUGUAACUAAGGAGUCCCGGUGGGCCGUGCAAGAGAAGAAGUUUUUGGUUAGUCGUCGUUGGCUAGAGGCUGCAAAUUUCUUUUUGCAAAAGCAGCCUGAGGAGAACUUUCUUGUCAAAAUACACUAGUUUCUGGUAAUUAGUUAAAGAGUUCUGUUACAAGGAUUUUGUGUUUGUGAAGAUGUCUGUGGAAGGAACUGAGUUUCAUUUGAUACGUAGGUCUCACUGAUCUCAUAAUUGGAUUGCUACAUAUGAUAUUCUGAAUGUUUGGAUUUGCUUGCUUCACUCAGGAAUAUUGGAGUUUAGGAUUUUACUCAGUAUAGAGAAAGCCAUUAUUUGUGACAUUUUGUUGUUCUCAAAAGUUUAGGAUUUUAUACUUCCUAUGUUUCUGUUGUUAAAUGUUUUUAAACAUCAAGAAAAACAAUAAAUAAUUGCUUGAAUGAAACAACUUUAUUAAUUUGCCUUGCUUAUUUAGAAUAUAGUGCAACAACAAUACAUGUAAUGUUUUUUUUUUUUUUUUGGUACAAAAGAGGGCAAAGCCCAAACAAUACAUGUAAUGUUACAUUAAAGGGAAAAUUGAAAUAAUCGAGGCUUUUGUCCUAUAAUAUGUUCGAAAAUUUUAAUCGUUUCACUAAAUUAUCCCUUAUCGAUCAUGUGCUGUUGAAAUCUCAUUACCAUAAAAACAUAGUGGAUUACAAGCUUAACUAGUUAGUUACUAGACUGUGCAAUUACUUGUUAGACAGGUAAUUGUCAUAGUUAAUUAUCUAAUUACACUUCCCAAAGUUCAUCACCAACUCCAACUAGAACUAUAGCAAGUGGAUAUUUACUGUAUCGUAAAUAAAGAAUGAAAGUUACGAAGUACUUUAAAAACAGAACAAUAAGAACAGAAAAGAGUUUCAUAAUAGUCCUAAAUAAUGAAAGUUAUGUUCAUGGUUUCUAAAUGAAAUUUAGUCCUAAAUACACUUUUUUUAACCUUAAAAUCCAACAAAUUCAUAUGAAUUGACAAUCACAUGCAAAGAGUUGAAGAAAUUAAUUAAUUCAGUCAUGGAAUUGGCCUAGCGGCAUUGUUAUCGGAAUUUCGAUGGGGAGGAAGAAGAAGCGCGAUGCUUCAAAGGUCUGGUGUUAUUACGCGAUCAUGAAUUCGAUGACGAGAAGAUCUUGGUUCAGCAUCAGAAAGCCAAGCACUUUAACUGUCAUGUUUGUCAUAAGAAGCUUUCCACUGCUGGUGGCAUGUCUAUUCACGUUCUUCAGGUCCACAGAAAACGUCACCAAGUAUACUCUCAACUAUGUCUAUUGCAGCCUCUAUCACUGGUACUUCACAAAAAAUCCAAUAAUAUUCCUUAAUUCAGAUGUAUAGUUUCAAGUUUGGAACUAUAUUUUUGUAGCAAAUUAAAACUUCCUCAAAGCCAUGGCAAGGUGAGUGAUCACUAUGAAAGCUGAAUACUCCUUGAUCAUGUGUGUUAGCAGUAUGAUGAAUGGCAAAAUUUGAGCAUUAGUUGAAUUGGAAAAACUAUUAAUUACUACUCUAAGGAUUAAUAUGGCCUUCUCAUAGGGGUUCUAUCACCAAUUCCAUGCAGGCUUCUCUUGUUAAAUGAGACUUUGCCUUCAUAAGCGAACAAUUUGAAAAAGAAAAAUAAGUUAAAGCCAAAAUUGUAAUCAAUGUUUUAAAAUUCAAACGAUGGAACCAAUAAUUGACACUGUGUUUACGCUCCAGUUAUAAUUAAUUUGAACGUUUCAAUUGAGGCCUCAUCCUAAUUCGAGCAGUUUAAAACAGUUGAACCAUGACCUCGAAAAAUCUCGUCAGUUUGAUGUUGAUUUGAUUUUUAUACCAUUGAUUAUAACCAAAGCUCUGUAACAUUUAUAAAAUAAGGAUUAAGGAUUAUUGGCCGUUGGGAGUAUUUGUUGGACUUAAUAAUCUCCGGAAAACAGUCAUUUUUGAGGCAGUAUUGAUAUAUGAUGAAACGAUACCUUUUUAGUGGUUAUUUGAAACUCUUCUCCAACCAACCAAUGGAGAAAAGCCUAAAACCAUUAUAUCAGAUCAAGAUGCCAAAAUGUCAAAGGCUAUUUCUUUAAUUAGUGAUUCCAGAAACAUUUCAUGGAUUGUGCACUUUACAUAUAAGACAGAACGAUCUAAGGCAUGUGAACCAUCUAUAUCAAGAGAGUUCACAUUUUUGUUUAGAUUUUGAAAGAGGCAUAGAUCUACAUGAAAAGGGAGAUGAAUUUUUGAAUGCAUGGAACUCUUUACUUGUUGAGCAUAAUGUUAUGGAAGGUUUGUGGUUGCAUAUGAUUUUUCAAUUGAAGGAAAAAAUGGGCAUGGCAUGUGUUCGGAAAACAUUCACCGAAGGUAUGAGAUCUGAAUCAAGACAUAAGCUUCCUAGAUUGAAAAUGAAGAAGGCUCGUAUGCUCGUCCAAUCCGGAAAUGUUUACACUCCCAAAACAUUAGAGGAAUUCUUAUGAUUGUCAUAAAUUUGAGACACAUGGCCAUCUUAUGUAGUCAUGCUUUGAAACUUUUGGAUGUCAUGAAUAUUAAGUUAAUUCAUGAACACUAUAUACUAAAGCGAUGAACAAGAGAUGCAAGGUUGGGAAGUAAAUAAAGAUUGGAAAGUGAUGCAUGUUGAAUCAGACACGAAAGCCCAUUUCAUGAAGCGAUACAGUGAGUUGUGUCCUUGAAUGGUUAAAUAGACCAACGAAGCUUCAAAAACUCAAAACUUACAGAUAGUUACCCAAGGUCUAUGAAGAGUCCAGAAAAAUAUUUGAAGAUAUAUUGGCCAAAAAAUACGUGGAUGGAGAAUCCAGUGGGAUGGUUCAUGUAACCAUAUCAAUUGCAAUUGAUGCAAUUGACAACAACGCGGACACCGUUGUCGGGGCAAAAGGCAUAAAGAAGAGAUAAUGUUCACGUUCUACUAAAAAAACAAGCCAAAUCUUGGGUUGAGAAAGCACCUAGGAAGAGAAACAAAAACUUACACUCCCAAAAAAAGAGAAAAUUAAUCACAAGAAAAUGUAGUACAAUAGUUAUCGGUAAGUGUUUUUCUUUAUUUUCUUAUCAUUGUUUUAAAUUUUGUUUAACCAUAUCAUUCAUUUCACUUUUCUUAUAUUAUGCAGCAACCACUUGACUAAAAUUCAAUUUCUCUCAAUUGAACUCAAUGUCAAGCUACAAUCCAAGGGACACAAUGAAGCAAAAUUGACACAUUGGCAUUUCAUAACCUUUCUAAGAAAAACAAAAAAUGAUUGCUUUGAAUGAAACAAUAAUAUUAUAUAACAAUACAUAAAAUAUUACUUUUAAAGUAAAAUUGAAUUAAUAGUGCCUUGAACAUAUAAAAUGAUAAUGAAUCUAAUUUUUUUAAAGAUACAAUCAAAUUAAGGAAAAAAAUUUAUGUGCAAGAUAUGCAUUGUACAAUUAUCAGCCACUGUACACUCUAAGACGACUAGUGAUCCUGUGUCGACAUAUUGGACAAUGUCUUAACCUUGAUCCACAAUCUCUGCAAGUCUGCAUUCCAAAAUAUUGUAUAACAUAUAGUUUAAUCUUAACAAUUAUCAGCUUAAUUGUUUCAUUAAUUACUCUAAAAUAAAAUGAAUCAAAAUAAGCUCACCAUGUGCCCACAUCCAAAUGCCAAAUCCUUUGCAUUCGUCAGACAAACAGGGCAGCAGGCCUACAUAAUUCCAUUGAUCACAUAAACCAUCAAGCAACUUCAAUGUUGACAGAAAUAAUUAGUGAAGAUGUUAUAGUAACAUUUGAUUUGAUAUAUACUUACAGAUUGAUUUUGGUCAUCUGUUGUUGAAUUGCUAUGUGCAGGCCGAGAGUAAGGUACAGGAGAUGGUUUUGGAACUAUUCUCUUCGCUCUUCCUGUUACAAGUCUGUUAUCAAUUCAUAGACACAAAUAUGACAACAAAAGUUAAUUUCCAUAAUAUCACUUGAAAGAAAAAGUUGCAUUGUUAUGCCGCACAUAUCAAUGAUAUCAUUAAUAGAAGAUUUUUUAUAGAAUUGUUUAAGGUUUAAGAUCGUACCCCAGUUUUAGAAAUUCAACACAUGCUUUAUAUUGGAAGGGAAUCUCCAUGAGAGAGUUAACAGCAAAAGCUGCUUCUUUUUCUGCUGCGCUUGUGUUUUUAGACAUUAUUUUUGUGAAGUUAACGAACUGCACAAAACCGAAAUAAUGUGAUCAAGCGAUGAAAAAUAAUGAUCAGUUAUCUUCACUUAAAUAUAGAUCAUUAGAUUAAUUCAACAGCUAGAGAGUUCGGCAUAGAUUAUAGUAAUACCGGAUACGAAUUCAAAUAGGUUAUUACUUGAUACACACAUUUUUAUGGUUCUAUUGUAAUACCUGAAAAUUGUCAAAAUCGCGUGACGGAAUUUUGUCAUCAAACUUUUCCAUGUCUUCCCAAGGUCCAUCACCAACUCCAACCAGAACUAUAGCAAGUGGAUAUUUACUGUAUCAUAAAUAAGGAAUGAACAUUAAUAUAUAUUAAGCACAUGAAACUGUUUUGAAAUUAUUGUAAAAUCAGAACAAUAGAAAAAAAAAAAUGCGUCUUAUUAGGCCCUAAAUAAAUAAUGAAGGAAAAUGAUAUAUGUAGCGAAAAUUUCACGUGAAAUCAUCCCCAGCCCAUGUAUUUCCAACUUUCAAGUGUUUUAAUUGGCUAACCAUUGACCCCAUCCACGCGAAAACGUUAAGUGGUUAAAACUUAUUUCGCUAUGCAAUCAUGAUACAAUUGCUCGCGAUGCAUAGCACUCCUCAAUAAAAAAACGUAUGUGCAUAAAAAAAUGUAUACCUUGCAUCAGCAAUUGCUUUGAUUGUCUUCUUUUCUUGAGGACUGACUUCAUUAUCUACACAUUUUGUAACCUUAAAAUCCAACAAAUUAAUAUAAGUCAGAAUCAUAUGCAAACAGUUGAAGAAAUUAACUAAGGUAACAUUUUAAAUAUACCUGACCGUCUGCAAUGAUAACCAAAACAUGAAAUUGGCCAUGACUUUUCUCGACUAUGUCUAUGGCAGCCUCAAUCACUGGAGCAUAAGAAGUUGGUCCUUCACACAAAAUCCAAUUAUAUUCCUUCAGUCGUGUAUCUUAAACCAGAUAUUAGUCUUGAUUUAUCUCAAAGAUAUAUCAAAUAAUUCUAGAUGUGCAUCAAAAUUUAUACACAUGAUCGAAACGCUAUAAACUUCAACACAUCCAAUUAUGAUUUUUGUAAUACAUAGUUUUCAACACAAAAGCGGUUUACACCUAACUUUUACAACAUAGUAAAAAUGAUAGAUUGCAAUAAGAUUAUAAGAAUAACACUACCAAAAAAAAAAAGUGAAGAUGAUAUAAUAAUGACCUGAGAGUUUCAAGUUUGGAACUAUGUUUUUGUAGCAAGCCAAAACUUCUUCAAAUCCAUGGCAUGGUGAAUGAUCACUAUGAAAGCUGAAUACUUCUUGAUCAUGUGUGGUAGCUGUAUAUAUAAUGGUAAAAGUUGAGCCAUAACUUGAAUUGCAAAAAACAUUAAUUACAUUCUUUUUACAUAUUCUACUCUAAGGACACUAGAUCUUACCAUCACCAAAGCCAAAGCAUGGAAUCAAGUUGUCUUCAUCAAAGGGAGCUAAAGUCUUGCCAACAAUUGAUAUGGCCUUCUCAUAUGGGUUUGGUGUAUCUCCAAUUGCAUGCAGGCUUUUCUUAUUGAAUGAGAUUUGGCCUUCAAAAAAAAAGGGAUGCAUUGGCUUAAUAACGGAACACUUUGAGAAAAAAAAAUAUGUUCAAGCUGAAAUUAUAAUCAAUGUUUUAAAAAUCGAACCAUGAAUUGAUGCUAUCGAUGGUCGGGUUAUAAUUAAUUUGAAGGUUUCAAUCAAGGCUUCAUCCUUUUUGAGCAGUUUAAAACAGUUGAACCAUGACCUCGAGAAAUAUCGUCGGUUUGAUGUUGAUUUGAUUUUAAAAACAUUGAUUAUAACCAAAACCCUCAAACCAUAUUAUAAAGCAAGCUUUAGCUCCUAAUCAUGCCUAUAAUUUAUAAUAUCAUUGAUGGAAUCACUUGACUAAAUUUUGUUCAUGUAUUACAACUUACCAGUCCACUCAUUACUCUUUGUAAAAUCAAUUCCAAGGAUGAGAUUUGAUGACUCUAAACCUUCUUUCCUAAGUGCUACAAUAACCUAUAAAAAAGGACAAUGAAAAUUAAAUAAAAUCAUCUACAAAGUACACAUUGCCAAUAACAUGAUAGCUUAAAAGAGUUACAAUUCAAAUAUGAUUACUACUUAAAAGAUCUAGUUCAAUUGUGAAUUUUUUUUUAAAUAAAUUGGAAGGCCGAACUCAUUCCAUAUGAGAAAAAAUUAUUUUAUUUUAUUUUUUUUAUAAAAAAUGAUAAUUUUUACUUUAUUAUUACAUGAGUUGAGAUCCCUUCUUUUCCUCAAGAACGAUAAAUGUAGAGUGUACAAAAGCAUCACUGUGUUUGUUUGGCAUCCCAACUUUGGCCCGAAACAAACAAAAAUUAUAUAGUGUACACUAAAAAAAUUUAUUAAAAAAAAUUAGGUAAACCAAACAUAUGCCUAGUGAUUCUUAAUAUAGAGUGUCCUUUUAAAAAAAGUUGUUCUUACAAAUUAAGCAAACAAUAACAUGCUUCACCAUGUCAGAGGCACUAACAAUUAAUUCCAUUAACAAACACUUUCGUUGAAUAGUUUAAAAUCGUCAAACCCUUUGCUGAUAGCUUAAUUUGGAUCUAUAUACUUUUUUGUUUUUAUCAAAAUGGAAAACUUUUAUUAUUAGUAAACAGCCUUAACAUAUAGUAGACGAGUAGACCAAAAUAUUUUCAUUUUUUUCUACUUUUUUAGACUUGUGAUUUAUAUAUUUACAUAUAUAAAGUUUCAUCUUCAAAUUUGCUUUAGACCAACAAAUAUAUUGGAUCGGCACUAAUUUUGAUAUACAAAUUCUGAAUCAAAUUUUGUUUUUUCUUUAAAGAACUUCCCUAAAUUGUACUAUAAAAAAAAAAUAACACUACCAAAAAAUAAAAACAAAAGAAAGAAAGAGAAUGAAGCAGCAAAAGAAAAAACAUGACGGUUAGGUUUUUUUUUUGUGGUGGCCGGGGUUUGAACCCCGAAGACGAUGGUUAGGUUUAUGAAGACAUGUAAAGUACUCUUACAAAUUCUUGAUUACUAGUAUUUAAUAACAGUAACUAGAGAGACAAUAAUUAUAACUUUGAUAGGUUACUUUAGCAGAGGGACGGUUAGGUUAUUGGUUCAACUAUCUUCUCUAACAUUCUAAUUAAUUAAUAAUUACUAAUAUUUGUGGUUAAAUAAUAAUAGAGAAACAUAUAUACUCCCUCCGUCUUAAAUUAUAAGCAAAAAAAUUCAUUUUCUUUGUCCUAAAUUAUAAGCAAAAAAGACCAACUUUUAUCAUAUUUAAUUAUAUUUUUUCAAAAAAUUAUCUUUUCCAAAGGAAAAUUAAAUGCAAAGUGCAUUCAAUUUGCUCUCUUUUUCAUUUUCUCUAUAAUCAACUACCAAUGAAAAUUGUUUUUACAUCUUCCUAUAAAACUUAUUUUAAAGAUAACACAAAAAACUAUCUUACAAACUACCAUGUUUUAGUUUUCUUAAUAAAUGUGAUUUUUUUUUUUUUUUUUGCUUAUAAUAUAGGACGGAGGGAGUACCUGUUCAAGAGUUGUGAAGUUAUCUUGAAUCAAAUCAUACUUCUUGAGAGGUUUCUUGGUGUUUGAACUUUGUCCAGAAAUAACUUGUCGUGGUAGUGGUAAUGGGACAGGUUUGUGAAUUGGAAAAUUAGAUGAAGAGAUUCUUUCAUCUCUUCCUUUAGGAUCAUUCCUAGUAUCUUGAUGCUCAUGCUUUUUGUUUUUACCUAAGAGGUUACCCAUAGCAUCAAUUCAACUAGCGUUUCUCUACAUAUUGAAAGAGAGAUGUAUAUAUAUACACGUAAUGGUAGAAACGAAAUACAAACGAAGGUGCAACCCGUGUGUUUCCUAGAAAAUCAUGUUAACAAAAAAGGGGUGAAUUUUAAAACGAAAAAAAAUAAAUUAUAAUUGCUAAUUACUAUAUUGGUAUUAGAUUCUAUUCUUAUUGGCAUUGGGGCUUUAUUUUGCUUUUUAGCUUUGUAAAAUAUUUAGUGUUUAAGUUUUUAUUUUAUUUUAUUUUUUGACAUAAAGAAGCUUAUAACUUUUUAUUAUUUAUCAAAGUAGUUAUACAAUGUGGAAUAAUAUAUGUGGAAUAAUUGUCCUCGUGAACUUAGUUCAGUUGGUAGAGACAAUGCAUAAUAUAUGCAAGGUCUGCGGUUCAAACUCCGGCCACCACAAAAAAAAAAAAGUAGUUGUAAAAUGUGGAAUGUUAUGAUGAACUUCGAAACUAGCAUGAUUUAGUGCUCCCUAGCUAAACUAUGGGCGGCUCUAUUGGCUUGUCUUCUAAUGAACUUCAAAUCAGAGUUCACUAAAUCAAUCAUCAACAAGUGUCUACAAUCACGAAUUAUAGCCAUAAAAUCAUAGACAAUGUCCCCUUGGUAGAUACUAUCUGCCACAACUUUGGAAUCAAUCGUCUAAGACUCUAGGUCUGCUUUUGUUCAUGGCAGGCAAAAUUUAGAUGGUAUUUUAAUAGUUAAUGAGAUGGUUAACAAGGCUCGUCGUUUGAAAAAAGAGUUGUUACUUUUCAAAAUAGACUUUGAAAAGGCUUUUAACUCUGUUGACUGGCAAUACUUAAAUGUUGUUAUGCACAAGAUGAAUGUUCCCAAGUUAUGGCGUAAAUGGAUUAUGGAAUAUGUAUCACUACAACUUCCACUUCUAUCCCAGUAAAUGGAAGUCCAACAGAUGAGUUCCAAUUUGAACGACGACUUCGCCAAGGUGAAUCCUUUUCCCCGUUUCUGUUCUUAAUUACAGCGGAAGUCCUCAAUGUUAUGAUGAAUGCUCUUGUCAAUGUUUGCUUUUUCUUCAACUAUCAGGUGGGUCGAACUGAUAUUGUUCGUAUUUCUCGUUUGCAAUUCGUUGACGAUACUUUACUUGUUGGAAACAAAAGUUGAGAAAAUAUUCGGUCUUUAAAGGCCUUACUUCUGCUUUUGGAGGUGGCUUCAGGCCUUAAGGUCAGUUUUCAUAAAAGCAUGCUUGUAGAUGGUAAUGUUCUGAACAGUUGGUUAAAUAAGGAUUCUAUAGUUAUGAAUAGCAAAAUUGGUCAUCUUCUGUUCAUGUACCUAGGUCUUCCAAUUGGAGGUGACUACCGAAAGCUCAAUUUAUGAAAACCUUUGGUUGAGAAGGUUAAUUCAAGACUGUCUGGAUGGAAGAGUCACAAUUUAUCUUUAGGUGGUCGUUUAGUUCUUCUGAAGUUUUUUCUAUCCUAUCUCCCGGUUUAAUUCACUUCCCUUGAAUCUAUUUUUAAUUGUUUUUUUUUAAGUAGGAUGGAGGUCUAUGGGUCAAGAUUCAAGAAGAUUAGGGAGUUUAAAUUUUCUUUACUACACAAAUGGUGUUGGAGGUUGAGGCAGGAAAAACGUUGUCUGUGGUAUAGUGUUUUAGCAUCGCGUUUGUAAAGGGUGGAUCUCUAGGCGAUGGGGGGAGAAUAGCUUCGGUGUGGUGGAAUGAUUUUCUUACCAUUCAGAGAGGUGAUGGUCAGGGGGUUGGUUAUUGCUUUACCGAUCAUAUUCGGUGUGAGGUUGGGGAUGGAGUGAAAACUUUAUUUUAGUGGGAUCCUUGGUUGGAAGAAGGAAUUUUAAAGGAUAAAUUUAAUCGCCUUUUUUAUCUUUCUGAUAACAAAUUGACAACUGAGGCAGACAUGUUUUUGUUAGGAUGUGGGGAUGGAGGAGAGGCUUGGAAAUGUUGUAGGAGAUUGUUGGCUUGGGAGGAAGAAUUGGGGAGGGAAUGUUGUGAGCUUUUAUUACCGAUUGUUUUGCACGCUGAUAUGAAUGAAAGAUGGAUUUGACAACUUCAUGCCUCUUCAAAAUACAAUGUUACUAGUGUUUACAAUUUUUUGACAUCAAGGGAUUAACCUCCAAACAAUGAUGACAAUUCUAUUAUUUGGCACAAGAGGUUCCUCUAAAGGUUAACAUAUUUGCUUGGCGUCUUUUGUGAAACCGCCUUCCAACAACUGAUAACUUAAUCAGGCAAAGGAUCCUUCAACCAAAUAUGUUUUUUGCUCAAGAGGUUGUGGCUCACAAGAGGAUUCUGGUCAUUUUUUUGACCUGUGACUAUUUUGGACAAAUUUGGUAUGAAAUUUAUAAUUGGCUUGGAGUGGUUUCAACCAAACCAGCUCGAGUAAAGGAUCACUUUCUUCUUUUCCGAUCGUUGAGCUGCUUCUCAAAAAAAUUUUGUUCUGCUUUUUAUUUAAUUUGACUUUCUUCCAUUUGGAUUAUUUGGCAUGACUAGAAUGCAAGAUUUUUUCAAUAAAAAGGAAAUUCAAUCAUCCAACUUAUAGAUAAAAUUAAGCUUCAAACCUUCUAGUGGUUGAAGGCAAAUCAUCAUAAUAUAUGUUUACUUCUGUAUUUUAAGUGUACAUGCAUCAAGGCCAUAUCGUUUUUUUACCUUUGAUAAUCUGAUGUAACACACACUUCUUUUUAUCUUAGUUCUUCUAUAACACUCCUUGUGCUUGAGAGACUUAGCUUUGGCUAAUAAUCCAUCCGUAACAAAAUAAGAGAGUCUUGUAUAAAAAUAAUAUUGUCCUAAAAUAUCUGACUCAUUUCACUUUUCAAUGCAAUAUUAAUCACUUUUUUUCCAAUAUUAAUCACUUCUCAUUCAAUAUAUUCUACUUUGCAUUUGUGAUAAUGGUAAAUGCACCAAUAAUUGACAAAAGAAAAAUUAAAACCAUUUCUCUAUCUCCUUCACCAAUACAUUUUUCUUAAUAGUGUGAAAUGAACAAAAUGCUCACUUAAAUUGGGACGGAGGGAGUAUAUUUCCUUUUAACUACUUAAAUAAAAACUUUAUACGUCAAAAAAAUCAUAAUUGUAAAUUAAUACUCAAAUAAAUCAUGAUAAUAAAAUAUUUUAAGACCUUUCAAAACACUAAUUUUAAGGUAAAGGAUACAGUCCAAAUACAUCAUAUAAUAACGUAUUGAUAUCCAAUUAUGUUGACACCUUUUUGUUUUUUUUUUUUGGAAGGAAUGUUGACACCUAAAUGCGGUCAUUUAUCAUUUCCAACAACUUAAUAAAUAUAUUAAAAUAAAAUAAGAAAAGUAGUUUGCGUAACUAGGUCAAAACCAAAUUUUGAUUGACUGCAGUCAUAAAAAUGACACAGUAACACAAUCAAACAAACUACAGUCAUCUGAUUAAAUCAAGGGUGCAAAUUCAAUUUCUCUCAGCCCACUACAUUAGGGUAGUAAAAACAAAACGCCUCUUUGUAAUCUUCUUUCUUUCCUAUUUUACCCUUCAUUUAAACUAUUUUAUUUACUAUUUCAUCCUUUUAUUAUAUUAUUUAAAUUAUUAAUUAAAGAAACCAAAUACAUUAAAAUGGAAACUACAACACUGAACAAUAUUAUACAUAAAAAAAAAAGAGCUUAUUUAAUUGUUUUUAGGUAACUUAUUUUAAUCUUACUUGCCAAAUAUAUUUAAUCAUAAUUGGUAUUUUAUUUUUGAGUUUAAUGGUGGUGAGUUAACAGUCCAAAACAGUUUUGCACGCACAACCAAUCAAAAUAUUCUGAAUUGCCACGUUUGGUCCAUAUGAAUUAAAAUCAUUCAUUGAUGUGGUGAUUCUAAAUGUUUUGAUUGAUUGUAUGUGCAAAACUGUUUUGGACUGUCAACCCACCACAAUUAAACCAUUUUUUUCAAAACGGUUUAACCGAGCGAAAAAAAAGGUUUUGCACAUAAGUUUUUAGUCCUUAUAAAUACAGUGAAUUUUAAUUUUAGUUCAUAAAAUAUUAAACUGAAUAUUUUUAUCCUCACAAUUUUUUUAUUUUGUUUUUGGUCCUUAAUGGCCCAUUAUAUUCAUAUGAAUGUCAAAAUUAUAAUUCUUUUAUGUUCAAAUUGUAUUCAUGUUAUAUCCGUUCAUUAUGUUUCUUCAAAAAAAAAAAAAAAAAGUCUGUUCAUUAUGUUUAACUUUUAUAUAUUCAUAUUAUGUUCAAAAAAUAAAAAAAAACAUGUCAAAAUUAUAUCAAUUAGGGACCAAAAACAAAAAAAAAAUGAUGAUGAUGAUAAUAUCUCAUUUUAUUUUUUAGGGACUAAAAUCCAAAUUUGACAUAUUUAUAGGGACGAAACACUUAUUUAACCCGAUAAAAUAUUUUGAUUUUAUUAUAACUCGUUUUACAAUUUCAAUACAUUAUUAAUAUUACAAGUUGAUUAAUGAUAACCCGAAAGUUGUAGCUGGACUAAAAGUUUUUUUUUUUUUUUUAUCAUAUCCUUUUCCAUUUAUUAGUCUCUAAUUUUUUCAUUCUUUUAAUCUAUUUUUUUCUCGUAUAAUUAAUGAACGAUAAUUUUAUAAAAUUAUUUAUACUUUAUCUUUUCAAUACAAAAUUAAUUACAUUUUUUAUAUGUGUGAAAAUAUAAAAACAACUUAUAAUAAAAUAGGGAAAGUGUAAAUUGCUAAGAUAUGAUAUGAUUGAAAAAAAAAUUAAAUACUAUAAAAUAUGUAAAAUAUUAAAGAAAAUCAAAUAUAUUUUACGAUUUUUUUUCAAGUAGUUUAAUAGGAUCCCAGUUGACCUUGUGAAGAGUAGAAAAUUCAGGAUUUGAAUUCAAACAUAUUUGUCUCAAUUUAACUUGCUAGCUGAACUGACAAUGACUCUUUUAUGUAAUUUAGUUACACAUAUUUGUUAAUUGUGAAACAGGUAGGACAUAGAAUAAAAUAAGUAGCUGUCCAAAAAUAGCCAAUGUCCCAAUUAUGGAAUUAUAUGACUUGACACUCUUGCUUCAAAAAAUGACUUGACACUCCACACGUAUCAACUAACUUAAAACUUACGGUCAAGUAAAAAUAUUUUCUAUACAUUGACUUCAUAUUUGAAUUAUAGUGUUGAGGAAAGUUCAUAGAGAGUCUAAACUACACACAAGCGGGACAUAGUCUAAACUAGUAAAAAACAACAAAAACGAACAACCCAACAAGGUAAAGGGCUAUGAAGCGUAAACUCCGACACGGAUAUCUAAUACGAUACUAACACGGAUAAGUUGACACUGUUAAUGUAAAAAAUAUAGGACACCGACACCGCUACGUAUAUGUUAAUUUAUUUAAAGACGGUCUAAAAUGAAAACUAAAAUACAUAUAUAAACAUCUAACUUGAGAAAUUUAUUUCAUUAAAAAAAGUUCUCCAACAAGAUAUCAUAGUAUUUGACCUUUAUUUAUUCAUCUACUGUAAAAAAAAAAACUAAAAAUGAUAUAAUCAACUAUAAUGUACAUAACCCCUAAUUGAUCAACAUUUUUCAAAACAUAUACAACUCUUGUAUCUAUGGCAUGUGAAAGCAAAAGAGAAAAAAGUAGUUGUAAAUAUUUGUGUAAGUUUUCCGACACGACUCGUAUAUGAAUGUUAUAUAGGUGUCAGACACUUCAAAUAUAUUAUGGUAUGCUUUAUCUCUCAAGUGUGUCAUUCAAUAGUGGGUUACAAUCCACUUUUAUGGUGAAAUUAAAACCCACCCAACCGCCUCAGAGCCACAAAAAAAAACUAAGAGCAUGUUUGAAAUAGUUUUUGUUUUCAAUUUUUGAAAUAUAUAAGUCCUCUUCUCACAAUAGUUAUCCUUUUAUAUGUUUUAGUUUUAGUCCCUAAAACUAAAAAAAAUUCAAAACAGUUUCCAAAACUGUAAUUUUAAAAAAUAGUUUACCAAUUUUUUUUUUAAUUUUCAAGUUUUUAAAAACUAAAAAAGAGUUUUUGGGAAGUGUUUCAAACAUGCUCUUAGUCUCUGCCUCCUACGUUGAUAGAUUACCAACACACCCAAUGGUUUUGAAUAUGAACAAACUAAUUUGUAUAAAACACACUACUACAAAAAACCCCCUUUAAUAGCGUUCCUUUGAGGCAUUUAAUAACGCUUGUGAAGUGCUAACAAAGCCCCUGCUAUUAUAGGUCAGAACCCCUACAAUAGCGUUUUCUAGAACACAAUUAAAUAGCAAGGUUUCAAUAGUGCUUUCAGAAAAGCGCUAAUAUAGCCUUAUUUUUGUUCUAUUUUUAAACAUAUGUUUCUUAGCGCUUUUCGGAAAUCGCUAUCUUAACUAUCCCUCCUUUAUAUAAAGCCGUGCUGUUAUAAGCUUUUCUUUUUAAAUCUUGCAUUCGAAAGUUCAAUAGUGCAACAAAUUAGCAAAUCAAUCAAACAUCUCAUUCCAUCCAUUGAUAAAAAAAUAAACACUAGUAAUAUGUUCGUCGAAAACUUGGUUACAAAAUAAAUCUCAUAUAUUAAUCAAUCCUAGAGAAGGACAUUUAAUUUACAAAACUAAAAUUGUAAGGCUAGUGCACAUAUAGCAAAAGUAGUCGCAACCAACAAAAAAAAACCAACUGCAAAGGUACUCAUGUCAAGCGAUCCAACGUCUAGAGGUUAAAGCUAACUCUAACAAAUGAUUUCCUGUGUCAUAUGGAAGGAAAUUUUGUAUUUGAUUUCCAACACAUAACCCACAUGCCUAACAUUUUAUCUCUCAACCUUAAUAAAAAUGAUAGAGUUAACUAACCUGAUUCACGAGAGAUGAGGAUAUUCAACGCAAAUGCUCAGUGAAGAAUCAAUAGAAAAAAUCAGAAGCACGAAAUAUUCUACAAGCACAAGUAAACCAACAAAAAAAAACAAAGAAAUGAACUCAGUUUAGAUUUAUCAAAGUUAAGUAUAGAUAAAAAAAACCAGUAAGUUGUGCUUAACUUUUCUUUAUAAUACGCAAACGAACCACAAAUAAUGUUCACAGAGUACUAAUUUACCUUUUCAAGUUUCCUUUGAGUGACAAGUUGAACCUACCGUGCGAGGAUAUUCAACGCAAAUGCUCAGUGAAGAAUCAAUAGAAAAAAUCAUAAGCACGAAAUAUUCUACAAGCACAAGUAAACCAACAAAAAAAACAAAGAAAUGAACUCAGUUUAGAUUUAUCAAAGUUAAGUAUAAAUAAAAAAAACCAGUAAGUUGUGCUUAACUUUUCUUUAUAAUACGCAAACGAACCACAAAUAAUGUUCACAGAGGACUAAUUUACCUUUUCAAGUUUCCUUUGAGUGACAAGUUGAACCUACCGUGCUUUUGAAAUUUUGAUUUUGCGGAGAGUUGUGCUUUUGCUGAAGAUUGGGGAACAAACAUGACAUUAAGUAUAUACUGUCCAACUCAACAUCAACAUAUGAGAUAAAAGACAAAGAAAUAUCAUUGAUGGUGAUGAUGACUCAAGCAACCAUAGGUAUUAGUUCUGCCAUUCAUUUUAUAAAAAAAGUUUAGAAAAGAAGUUUGAGUAUGAUUAUAAAAAUCUGGGAAAAUUUAUAAAUUUGGGGAAAUAAAAAAGAGGAACAAAUAAAUUUGGGGAAAUAAAAAUGGAAUGUUUCAUUAUAAAUUAAUGAUGAUAAAUAUGUUUCUUAAUUAGGUGAUAGAGAGUAUUUUGUGUAUAUUAAUUAAUUUGGUGAUAGUUUUAAAUCUUUCGAUUAAAUGAAAUGAAUGGAUAAGAUUUGGUAUCAAACAAAUUUUGAGGAAUAAAUAACAACCGUUAGAUUAAAAUGUGUGGCUGAGAUUAAAGAUAGGUUAAGUAUCAAGGGAUACAGGAAAACCCACACGCGUUUUUAUUCCUACGCGUUCUUUCUUCUUCUCCGCCUUCACCACAGGUCCCAAACCUCCUUCCUAAAUCAACAAAUGGCUGAACAAUUUUGAUAAAAAUAAAAUCUUAAGGAGAAGAAGUGGUGUUGUUGACACCCUUAUUUCCCCAAUUUGAUAACAUUAUUUUAUUCGUAAAAUCCAGAACAAGGAAAUUGUGAAAUUAGAAAUUGAUAUUUAGUCAAAAUCUGAAUUUGAAAUUAAAUUGGAAACCCUUGAAAUUGGAUCCGUGGUCAUGGUCCUCCAAAUUACUUUAAUAUCAAUUUAUAUAUAUUAAGUUUAAGAAGAUAGAUUGCAGGAAGUGAAUGAAAUAAAUUGUUGAACAAUUUUGCAUAUGAAGGUGGAUUGGAAAAGAUGAGAAGGGAAUGAUUCAUAAGAUUGGAUAGACUAUGGAGAGACACAUGUUUUGUUUAAAAUAGAUCUUUUAAUCUCAGCCAUACAUUUUAAUCUAAUGAUUGUUAUUUAUUCCUAUCAUUCUCACAUAAAUAUGUUAUUCUCAUUUGAUAUGCCCCAUAUAUAUAUAUAUAUUUUAAAGAAUUCUAUCAUAUAUUUGAAGUCUUCUGAAAAUUUUAGGAUGCUCUUAUUCUAUGAAAUAUUUUGUAAAUAUUUUACAAAGAAUAUUGCUAUUUAUUUAGAGAGUUUUUAUCAAGAAAUUGUCUCAACCAAAUAAAUUUGUUAUUUGGCGGAAAUCAAGGGAGGUAAUAGUGUGUAUUUAAGGAAAAGUGUUAACAAAUACACUGUCUUAAAAUUUUCUUGAUAAAUUUUGUCACUGUAUCUAUCAAUUUCCUUUUACAAAAUAUUUAUAAGCAGGACUCUUGAUGAACUUUAAGUACAAUUGAGUUUUACCAUAAAUAAAACUCCCUAAUCAGGACUCUUGAUGCACUUUAAAUAAAAUUAAUGUUUACCAUAAAUAUAAAUACGCGUGUACUAUCAGUCAAAUAAUAACCAUAAUCAGGACACUUUUUUUUUUUCUAUGAGAAAAUAACCAGGACACUUAUGCGUCUAUAUUUUUUGACAUUUACUUAUUUUAUUUUAUGUCUCUCUUUUUUUUGAACAAAUUAAUUUAUGUCUCUUAGUAGUUAGUAGUUAGUACCUUUUCACAAAUUGUCAUUAAAUAUUUAUAAAAAAAGGUCAUUAAAUUGUAACUUAAAAAAGAAAAUUAUAUCUAAAUAUCUUUAGUAUUUUAUGUAUCAAAUAACUUGAUAUCUUUUCAAUAAUAUAUAUAUUUUCAUCUAAAAAAAAUAUAUAGAUGAACUUCUAUAGUCUAUAUAGAGUGGUGAUAGGCAUACCUCCUUAGGUGGCAAACACCAUUUGACCUCCACACAAAAAAUUGACACAUGGCAAACUUUAACUAUUCAAAACAAUCCAAAAAAACAGCGAGAAUCUCCCUCACAACUUCUCUUGCUCCCCCUUCUCUCUCUACUUACUCUCCCCCCACCAGCAUUCUCCAUCACCACCGUUUGUCACCACCAUCAUCUUUUUUAUUUUUUUUAAACAGCUUGUCACCACCAUCAUCUCUUUCAAAAAAAAAUAAAAAUUUCUUUUCUCAUUAAUCUCUGUCUCUUAUCCAUCCAACCACCCUCUUCUCAAUUUUUCGUCCACCCCACCUCCGUCCGUCGCUCAGCCUCUCAUCUCCGCCACACCUCAGUCUAGAUCUAAGAACUCUGCUGGUGGCAUCCCUUUCAUAACUACUUACCCUCUCUUCAUCCAUCAGCCACCACCACCGGCCACAUCCACCAACGUUAUCCGUCGUCUUCAACCUCAAUUAAAAAGAAAGUAUUGAGAGAGAAGAGAGAAGGGGCUGAAGAGAGAAAAAGGAUGAACAAUGAGAGAGGGGGAAGAGUUUAGACUGUACGUUUGCCAAGAGAGAGAGAAAGCAAAGUUCUGAAAUGAGUGAAAUUAUAAAAUGUGUGAAACUACUAAAAUGCCCAUACCACAUCAUCAGUGGUACAAAAGGGUGUAUAGAAAGAGUGGUUUGUGUAUCUUUUUCCGUCUAUAUAUUGGAAGCAUACACUUUUUUGUUCAGAUGUUUGGCUUGGUGGGGUGUCGUUUAGAGUCAGGUUCAACAAGUUAUUAGGUUGGAGGGGGUGGGGGGGUGUGUGUGGGUGGGUGGUGGAGGUGGUGGAGGCAUAUGUUGUUUGCGUGGGAGGAGGAGUUGGUGGGGGAACUUAUAUUACUACUUCAUAAUGUGACUUUGCAGGUUGAUAAGGAAGACAUAUGGCUAUGGACAUUGGAAUCAUCUCAUGCUUUCUCUGUUCAUAGUGUUUACAAUUUCCUAACUAUUCAACCUCCUAUUGCUUCAGCGGUGGUUGUUUCAUCUCUUUGGCAUAAGGAUGUCCCUCUGAAGGCAGUGUUGUUUGCUUGGCGGUUGUUCCGAGACAGGGUGCGGUUCGGUUGAAUCGUCUUAUCAUUUAUUCUUACAUUGUAAUAUUUUGGUUCUGUCUGGCAUUUUAUCUAUAGAUGGAUGGACAUUUCUGCGGUCGUCCCUCUUUAUGUGCCGGAUCAUUUUAAUCAAUUCAGUUAUAGUGGUGGUACCGUAAAGGUUAUUUGGUUUGCUACUAUUUGCUUUCAAUAUUAUAAGUUAGUAUUUUGUUUGCUACCAUUUGGGAAAUUUUGAAAGAAAGAAAUAAUAGGCUAUUGAAAGACAAAGAACGCUCGGUAAUACACGUGGUUGAUAAGAUUAAGUCUCUCGCUUUUAGGUGAUUGAAGGCGAAAUUUACUUCUCUUCCCUUCAAUUACCAUGGUUGGUGGCUUAGUCCGUUUACCAUACUGGACAUAGGCUAAUAGUUAUUUCUUUUCUUGUUUUUAUUUCUUACUCAGAUUCUUUUUAGUAAAUAUUGUUUCGACUUUAUUGUCUCUUCCUUAAUACACCUUGUGUUAAGAAUGACACUUUGAUUUAAUAAUAUAUUCCAUUUUAGCCUCUUCAAAAAAUAAAAUCAUCAAUAUUAUAUUGUUGUAUCUAAGUUUGUUUAUAACCUUAUAAUAUCUUUGUGGAAAAAUGUUAAGCCUGGUUAUAAAUUUGAUAUCCUAAUUUUACUCAUUAACAGAAAUUGGUCUCUAAAUUCAAGAUGACUCAAUUUUGCUUACUAUAUUAGAUUUUUGUACUUCAAAAAUGGUGAAAUUGAAUGUAAAACUCAAUAUUUUUAAUUGAUUUUGUUGUAAUUUCGCAAGUGUUGAUAACUCUACAUUUAAUGUCGUAUGUCACGUCAUAUAUAAUUUGUCAAAUCAGAAAUUUUAAGUACAAAAAUAUGAUGCAGCGACAAAAACCAUGUGAUUUUAUAAUGAGAGACCAAUUUUGUGAAUAAGUGAAAACAGUGAAUCAAAACUAUAAUCAAGCCAUCUGUAAAAAAAAAAAAAAAAACUAUAAUCAAUCCAAAGUCAUAUAAUAUCUUAGAUUAUGUCCUAAAUAGUUAUUUUUUCACAAUUUUUAUUUUUGAAUUAAUAGGUCUUUACCCUAGGAAUAUAGGUCAUUUCCGAUUUUCUCUCUUGUAAUUUUUUUUUUAUUUAUCUCCUGUAGAAAAAAAAUUGUUUUGAUUUACCCCCUAAUAGGCCAAACAAAAACGAAAAUUUCUUGAAAAAAAAUAAAAUUGAUUUUUGUUUGGCAUGUUAGGGGGUAAAUCAAAACAAUUUUUACAGGGGUUAAAUAAAUAAAAAAUUACAGGGGAAAAAUCGGAAAUAACCUAUAUUACAAAAGGUAAAGACCUAUUUACCUUUAUUUUUUGUAGUAAAAGUUCAAAUAUAUAUAUUUUUUUGAGGUAUAUAAAUGCUUCUAUAUCAUUUAGCAUCUUAUAUUAGGCAAAGACAGAAGAAUAUAAUUGUACAAAACUAGCAAGCAAAAGAAAGUGUCAAGAAUAGAAUCAGAUACCAAGAUAUAGUACAUAAUUAAAUUUUUUUCAAUCUUCUUUAAAACUUCACCGGUUUUUUUGUUCAUAAUAUGAUUUUCUAGGAACAACACCAUUUGGCACCUUCCUUUGUAUUUCGUUUUUUUAACCUCAAUCUAUUUAUACAUCUAAAUCUUUUAUUAUGUAGAAAACCAAGUUAAAUCCCUUCAAACAAAAGGAAAACCUAGUUGAACUUGAUUCCAUGGGAAACCUCUUGGGUAAAAGUAAAAAGCGUAAUCCUCAAAAUUCUAGGAGUGAUAAAGGAGGAAGAAUCUUGUCCAACAUUCCAGUUCAUGAACCUAUCCCAUUACCACUUACACAACAAGUUGCUUCAAUGUCUAAGAAAUCAAAUUUUGGGACACAUAAUUCUGGACAAAGUUCAAACACCAAGAAACCUCUCAAGAAGUAUGCUUUGAUUCAAGAUAACUUCACAACUCUUGAACAGGUAUAAUGAUUUUCUCUAUUACUUUUUUUAUCUCAAAUAUUAGUCAUUAUUAAUUUAAUCAGUAUUUUUUUUUGCUUGUGUCGAAAAAAGAAUUACUUUUAUUAAAUCAUGUAAAUAUUCUGUGCGAGUUUUACAUGUAUUCUUCAACUUUUCUUGUUGUUUCUUUUGUUGCUUCAUUCUGAGUUUUGCUUGUAUAGUACAAGUUAUGAAAGUCUUUCAGAAACAAAAUUUGAUUGAAAACUUGUAUAUCAAAAUUGGUGUCGGUCCAAUACAUUUGUUGGCCUAAACUAAAUUUUAAGCUGAGUUUAAUUUUCUUGUCAAAAAAAAAAGUUGAGUUUAUUUUUAAUUUUUUUAAAUAAAAUUUUAUAUAUAAGAGUGAGCAACAUAAAAAGUUGGUUUAGCAUAAGGGGUUAAACAUGCUAAGGAAAAAAGCUUGAUAAAGUAAAACAUACCGGAAGCAUAUAGGUCCACAUUAAGUAUAUAGCAACAACUUUAAAGAUUUUAAACUCUGCAAUGAAAGUGUUUGUUAAUGGAAGUAAUAACUAUUGAACCAUGGACCACUCAUUUGGUAGUAAGAUGUUAGUGUGUUUGGCAUAACAUUUUCUAUUUUAAUUUAAAUUAAAGGGAAAAAGGAAUACCACAAUAUGGCUAUGCUUGUUACUUUUUGCUUAAUUAGUACCAAUAACUUUAUUAAAAGGACAUUCUUUAUUAAGAAUCACUGUUUCAUUUUUAAAAGAGAUAAAAACCAAUAUUAUUUAAUUUUCAUUGUCAUUUUUUAAUAGGUUACUGCAGCCUUGAGGAAAGAAGGUUUAGAGUCAUCAAAUCUCAUCCUUGGAAUUGAUUUUACAAAGAGUAAUGAAUGGACUGGUAUGUUCAUGUACAUGAACAAAUUUUAGACAAGUGAUUCCAUCUUUCCAUUUAAGAGUUAAAGUUUUCUAUGCAUGGUUAUAAUCAAUGUUUUAAAAAUCGAACCGAACAUGAGUCAAUAACAAGACCUAUCAACUAUGAUUCAACGACUUUAAUCCGUUUGAACUGAAAUGAAACUGCGGUCAAACAAAUCAGUUUAAUAACUGAACCGUAGACAAUGUCAGUUCACGGUUCAAUCGGUUGAGUUUUCCAAUUCGGUUUGGUUUUUAAAACAUUAGUUUUCAUUUGUUCUUUGAAAUGAUUUUUUAUCUUCUGAAUGCUCCCCUAUAAAGUCAAUAUAUUCUUUUUUUUGAAGGCCAAGUCUCAUUCAAUAAGAGAAGCCUGCAUGCAAUUGGAGAUACACCAAACCCAUAUGAGAAGGCCAUAUCAAUUGUUGGCAAGACUUUAGCUCCCUUUGAUGAAGACAACUUGAUUCCAUGCUUUGGCUUUGGUGAUGGUAAGAUCUAGUGUCCUUAGAGUAGAAUAUGUAAAAAGAAUGUAAUUAAUGUUUUUUGCAAUUCAAGUUAUGGCUCAACUUUUACCAUUAUAUAUACAGCUACCACACAUGAUCAAGAAGUAUUCAGCUUUCAUAGUGAUCAUUCACCAUGCCAUGGAUUUGAAGAAGUUUUGGCUUGCUACAAAAACAUAGUUCCAAACUUGAAACUCUCAGGUCAUUAUUAUAUCAUCUUCACUUUUUAUUUAUGUAGUCUUAUUACAGUCAAUCAAUUCAUUAUGUGAGGUAAAACAAUGUAUAAUUGUAGUUAGGGACGAAUCUACGACUAUCAUAAUUAACAGAGUUUCUCCCACCAAGCUACCAUGAUUCCGAUAUUUCAGUCUUAACGACUUAUAUAUGUGUUUUUAUUAAAUAAUUUAAUCUUGAUGUAUCUCAUUUGUAAAUAUUUUUUUUUAUAUUCAUGAUCUUGAUGCUGUAAACUUUCAAUCCAAACGAUAGUUUUCUAAUGCAUGUAUCCAAUAAAAUGUUAUGAAGCGGUAUAAUUAACAAUACCAAGUAUUACGCGAGUAUAAUUUGAUCUAUUAUGAGUAUUGUUCCCAAAACUUAAAAUAUGUAGAUUGUAGUCUCUUGCAUAAGAUAAAUGGCUGAAGGAAAUGAUUGGAUUUUGUGUGAAGGACCAACUUCAUAUGCACCGGUGAUUGAGGCUGCAAUAGACAUAGUCGAGAAAAGUCAUGGCCAAUUCCAUGUUUUGGUUAUCAUUGCAGACGGUCAGGUACAUAUAUAAAAUGUUACCUUGAUUCAUUUCUUCAGCAGUUUGCAUAUGAUUGUCAAUUCAUAUGAAUUGUUGGAUUUUAAGGUUACAAGAAGUGUAGACUAUGAUGAUAAUGAACUCAGUCCUCAAGAAGAGAAAACGAUCAAAGCAAUUGCUGAUGCAAGGUAACUAGAUGUCAUUUAGAAACCAUGAACACAAUUUUCAUUAUUUAGGGACUAAUAUGAUGCUAUUUAUUCUUUUCCUAUUGUUCUGUUUUUAUAGUACUUCAAAACAGUUUCAUGUGCAUCAUAUAUGUUAAUGUUCAUUCUUUAUCUAUGAUACAGUAAAUAUCCACUUGCUAUAGUUCUGAUCGGAGUUGGUGAUGGACCUUGGGAAGACAUGGAAAAGUUUGAUGACAAACUUCCGACACGCGAUUUUGACAAUUUUCAGGUAUUACUAAGAAAUAGUACAGUCAAAACGUUUGUCUUAAGUCAUAACCUAUUUUAAUUCGUCCGAUAUUACUCUACUUUGAUGCAACUCUUUUCGGUGAGUGUAAGGCAUCAUAUAAUCUAAUGAUCAACAUCCGGCCGAAGAUAACUGAUACAUUAUCUUUUUCAUCAGUUGGUCACAAUAUUGUUUUUGUUUUCUAUAGUUUGUAAAUUUCACGAAAAUCAUGUCGAAAAACACAAGCGAAACUGAAAAGGAAGCAGCUUUUGCUUUGGCUGCUCUGAUGGAGAUCCCCUUCCAAUACAAAGCAUGUGUCGAAUUUAAAAAACUUGGGUAUGAUAAGAUCCUUAAACAUUAAGCUAUGUUAUUUUUAUCUAUUUUAUUAAAAGUCUUCUACCAAUGACUUGUGCAAUCCACGAAAUCUCUACUAUAUAAUAUUGAUAAUAUAUAUACUUUUUCUAUGAAACAAUGCAACUUUUUCUUUCAAGUGACAUUAUUUAAAGUGAUUAACUUUUGUUGUCAUCUUUGUGUGUCUAUGGAUGGAUAACAGACGUGUAACUGGCAGAGCGAAGAGAAUAGUUCCAAAACCAUCUCCUGUUCCUUAUUCUCGGCCGGUACCAAGCAAUUCGCCAGCAUCAACAACAGAUGAUCAUAAUCAAUCUGUAAGCACUAACUAAAACUUAGAAUGCAGUAUAUUAUAUGAAGUGAGCAAUACAGUCUAGAGUAUGCAUAUAUUGAAUCAAUGAUUGAUAUUGUGUAUGCAUAUAUUGAAUCCAGAGUUCAGUAGGUAAAUCAAUUAAUAUACUUAGACCCAAAAAAUAUUCAUGAAAUAUAUAUAUCAAUCUUUAUUUUUUAUUUUUUUACCAACCGGAGUACUUUCUUUAGAGUAGUCAAAUCCUAAAUCAGUUACUAGAGAAUACUAGGUAAAUUUGAUGUCAGGAAAAAUAUGUUAUUAAGAAGUUAUUUUAUUAAACAUACUGUGUAUUUUUAUUCCAACAACCAUCAUAUACUAAUAAUAUUUUAUGUUUUUUGGUGCAAGUAUAUCAUUGCUAUUUUUUGGUUUGUUGCUUGAUGGUUUAUGCAAUCAAUGGAAUUAUGUAGGCCUGCUGUCCUGUUUGUCUGACCAAUGCAAAGGAUUUGGCUUUUGGAUGUGGGCAUAUGGUGAGCUUGUUUUGAUUAAUUUUAUUUUAGAUUAAACAAUAUCAUUAUCGCUCUUCGAAUUAAUAAUUAAGCAAUAAUUGUCUUAAUUAUUUUUCCAAUUGCUGUUAGAUUAAACAAUAUUUUGGAAUGCAGACUUGCAGAGAUUGUGGAUCAAGAUUACGAGAUUGUCCUAUAUGUCGAGUGAGGAUCACUAGUCGUCUUAGAGUUUAUAACGGUUGAUUGUACAAUGAAAUGGUUUGCAUAAGAUUUAUAUGUAGGGUUGAUGGUGUUGCUCUAAGCCUCUAAGAGCUUAAAAAUUGAACACAGAUUUCUUGUAAUUAAAGUAAUAGCUAGGUAGACGUUGAAAUGUUUCAUGACUGUUGAAAAUUGGUGAUGAGAAAUUCAAAUUGAUUGGCAUUUUUAAGAAGCUAAGCUAACGUUCAGAAACAAUUAAUAUGAAUCGAAUCGAACGAAAUAUACACUUUGUUUCUAAAUGUCGAUGAUGUUUUAGAGUUUAUGUAUGUACAGUAAAAUGUUUCUUUUAUGAUGCAAAGUUUUGACCUUGUUUGACAACUUGCUGGUACAUAUUUCUCUGGUGCAAAUUAGGGAUCUUCACCAUGAAUGUUGAUUAUUUCAAGAAGGACAAUGACAAACUUAUAGGCCAAUUCAGUCAUGGGGAUUGUCGAAAUCUAUCGCCACGGUUUUCCUCAUUGAAUCACGACGGUGCAGGCAUCUGGUUCGCCUUGAAACAUGCAUACUCGCCAACCCUUUUUCCUCGGUAACGCUCCAACCCUCAUUACAUACCUCCGUUUCAUAAAGGUUUGGGAGCAAAACAAAAAUACAAACUUAAAGAUUGGAACUUACAAAUGUUGAACAAAGAUAAAAAGAUUGGAAGGCAAAGCAAAACAAAAAUAAAUUGGGAGCAAAAAUAACGCUUGAUCCCCAGGUAAUAAAGCAAAAUAGAGUAUCAUUAAAACCAAAACGUUUUGACAACAUUCUAAUAAAAUUCUUUCCUUACGAUUGAUGUCCAGUGUCCAGGGUUAAAAACAAUGAAAACUUCUUGGCGGUAAUCGAUAGAGCCAAAAAUGUGUUUUUUUCCUUAUGAUUUUGAUUUUGGUCCCUAACAAUUGAGCGAACUUUGAUUUAAGUCUUUGAGAUUUUUUUUCUUCUUCUUUAUUUCUACUUCUCAAUUAAUGUUAGCAAAAAAAAAUUGACGGGAAUAAAUAAAAUAGCUAUGUCGUCAAAAAUAAUCAUGUGGCAAGAUUCUUGGCCACAUCAACGCCUCCUAUAUAUGCUGUAGAAUCUAUGUUUUCUUACAUAACCUAUUUUUUAUACUGGUGUAUAUUCUAAGGGUUAUUUUAACGAUUAACCCAAAAAUAUAUAUGGAAGAUUGAGAAGUUUUGCAUUUCAUUUUUACGUAAGAUGUGUAAGACCGAGCCACGACUUGAAAAAAUUCAAAUAUUCAAUAUAAAUUAAUUAAAGUAUUAAAUAAGAUUUUAGUCCCUAUAAAUAUAUUAAAUUUUGAUUUUGAUCACUUCAAAAUUUUUCUUCAAACAACAAUCCUCCAAAUGUUUUCCAUCAACAUUUGCAGGGCCGUUCCUUCCCAUGCGCAAGGAGCUCUACGGAGCCGAGCCUCCAAUUUAUGGGGGCCUUAAUUAUUUAUAGGGGUAUGAGUAUAAUUGUUGGGAUGUAGGAUAAUAUUUUCUUUUGUUAUUAUAUCACCGUGAGCUUAGUUCAGUUGGUAUGGAUAUUGCAUAUUAUAUACAGGGGUCGGAGUUCGAACCCUGGACACUCCACUUCUCCACAACUUAAUUGUGUGAGCUCUAGUCAUCAGACUACUUGACCAAUUUUUCCAUUUUUAAUAUUAGAGCCGAGCCUCCAAUUUUUUGGAACGGCCCUGAACAUUUGUUGUCCUUGUUUUUAGUCAAAUCAUGUGUAUCAUUCAUAUUUUUAAUAAUUUUUUGAAGAAAUGUUCAUAUUAUUAUAAGAAUUUCCCCAACAAAAUCUUAAAUAUUUUAACAAAAAAUUGAUUAAAUAUUUAAGUGUCAAUAGUCUAAAAAUUCUUAUAUAAUUUAUUGCUUGUUAAAAAAUUCUAAAAUCUUGCAAGCAAUGUUUUUAUAACGUAUCAAACAUGACCCUAAAGAACCAUGCAAAAGUUCGAAAGAUACACAUUAACUGAUUUAAAAGAAGAUACUAAAUAUACAAGCUGAAAACAUUUUCAGAGGUUGGUGAGGGAGAAGAAGCCCCUUGUGGGAAAAGAAAAAUAACACAUAAAGAAAGAAAAUCGCACAAAAUCACUUAUAAAAAUGCAGGAAUUUACUUGACAAUGCAAUGAAGUAUGAAUGGCCUUGUAUUCCAUCUUUAAUCUUUGAUCACAUAGCAUGAAUGUUUGUGUGUGUGAGAGAGAAAAGAUUUAGGGUAAGACAUAUAAAAUAGUUUUUUAAAGCCAAUUUCGGUAUUACAAUUAAAUCUUCAUUAACCAGAUAUUUUUGGGGAGUGAUUAGAAAAAAUCACAAAAUAAUAUGAAAGUAAUAUAAAAUAAUUAUUUAAGAAGCAAGAUUAUUCCACCCGAAAUUGACACUGAAAAGAAUUGAAUAGAAUUGAAUCUGAGAUCUUUCUUUAAGAAAGAAAGAAUUGAAUAUGAGAUCUUGAGAGGGCACACUAUCAGGUCUCAAACCAACAUCAUCAAACUAACCCAAAUGAAUAGGUAAUAUAAAAUAAUUGAAGCCAAUAAAAAAUGGUUCUGUUUAUAAAUAGCUGACUGACUCGUAAUUAAAGUCGUCGAUUCAACUUGUGCGACCAACUUAUAGAUAUAUUUGAUGGGUCGCACAAGUUGUAAGUAUUAAUGUUUAACAAGUCUUGAAGGAUACAAUGACCUUGGUUAAUGGUUUAUGAACCCGCAAUUAUUCACUUCAAAGAAUUAAAAGUGUGUCUAUUUUUCUUUUAGUGGCCGCGGUUUGAACCCCAAACCUUGCCUAUUUUAUGCAUUGUCCUAACCAAUUGAGUUAAGCUCACGAGGACAAUUAAAAGUGCGUGUAUUUUGUCGUUGAAUUUUAUGAAAUAAAUAUAAAUUAAUUUUUUUACGAGUUUAAUUGAUAUAUUAUGUUGGUGUAAAUUAAUUUUACAUUAAUAUCUAAAAAGAAUCAAUUAUUUAUUAUAGCUUAUUAAAGCAUGGUUGAUUUGUAAAAAAAAAAAACAUGAUUUAACAGAAAAGAAAACAGUUGCUAUUGGAUGACAAUGUAAAAUGAAUAUCGUACAUAUUUUCUCUUAGUUUAAAAAAAUAAUUAAUAAUAAAUUGGUUUAAAGAAGACUUCAUUAAACUAGAGUAAGUUGACAUAAAUCAGAAAGGGUAUGAUCAUUUGGCAACACAGCACGAAACGAAGUAUCUUUUACAAAAACACAAACAGUCACAAAAAAACGUCAAACUCUAAUUCAACCAUUCCAUUCUAUAGGUAUGUGUCUUUCUAUGUUGUCUUUUUUUUUCUUCUUCAAUGUUUGGUGUAGAUUUUGAACUUAUAGUUUUGUCAAUUGCAUAUUUUAUAUUUAUUAUAUUCUUCACUUUGAUCAUGGAUCAUGAUGAACUUUAAACCGCAAAGUACUCUUAUUUUUGUUGUUUGAAUAUUUUUGUUGUUUUGCUUGAAAUUCUUUUGUUUUUGUUUCAUCUCAAACUUUCAUUUUCCUUCUUUUGUUUUUCUUCUUGUUGUUUUCUGGAUAUAGCAGCAGACCAACGGUUACGUAACGUUAAUCUACUUGUUAUUUGGCCAUUGAAAUCUAUCUUUUAAUAAUGAUGAUAAUAUUUUUUUUCCGAGGAAGAAUAUCAAUGAUAAUGAUUGGAUAAAAAAUAAUAUCAAUCAACGAUAUAAUUUAUUCCAUAAUUCAUGUAUUUUGAAAGUCACCACAUAGUGAUCUAUAUUUUUGAAAUAUAACAGUCAUAUUUCGAUCAAAUUCUUCAUAACAUUAUUAUUAUUUUUUAAAUAUUAACUUUACUUUGUAUAUAAAAUAAAAUCCUUUAACAUGUUCAUGUUGGAUAUUGGGAAUUCAUUCUCCUUACACAGAUAUAUUCUUUGUAUUUUUAUGCAUCAUUCAUUAGUACAUAAAAUACUUGAUUUUAUACUAUAUUUACAGAGGAUCAUGAAAGUCCCUUCCAAGUGAUGUAAAUAAUUUUAAUUUUAUUGAUUAUUCAAAUCAAAUAUAAAAUAUUUGCUUUUAUGACUUAGGAAAAAUGUCAUGCUGAAAGAAUAAAGUUAAAAUAAGGAAAAAUGUCAUGAUUUUAUGACUUAGUUUUAGACUUUAUAAAAAAUAAAAUGUUAGUUUUGGACAAAACUUUAUAUUUCUUGAAUCCCAAGUUUUUUUUUUUUUUUUUUUUACAGAACUUGAAUCCCAAGUUUCACUUUCUUUAUAUAAUAUAUUCCUUUUCACCGAUCCCUUUCAACUUUGUUUGAUAUUUAACGAUCAUAUGAUCAAUACUUUGGUACCUCUCAAGGUAAAUUACUCUAAUUGGAAAAUCACAAUGAGAUUUAAUUAGGCUUUUAUUUUUUAUUUUAACUUGAAUUAUUGCUCUCUGUUAUGAACCGAAGUUAAUUACUGUUUUGAAGAAGACACGAUUAAGUUAAUUACUUUUUUUUUUUUUUUUUUUUUUUUUUUUUUUUUUUUUUUUUUGCUUUGCUCACAAGAACAUUAUUGUUAGGUCCAUUGCACAGAAAACAACUUUUACUUUCUUGGAAAAAAAUCAUUGCAUAUAUUUUCCAUAUAUAAACAUAUUUAGUUUUCAUGUGUUCAACCUAAGAAAGUAUUCAACCUAAAACGUAUGCAACAUAAUUGGUAGCAUGUUAAUUUACCAUUUUGUUUGAUGUAGGUUUAAUCUUCACCUGUAGAACUUCAAACUCAAAGUGUGAUAAUUCUCAAAUGGGUCUUAGAGUUCAUCUUCUUGUUCUUAUUUUGGUCUCUUUCUCAUUAAGAUGUGAAUCAUGGGGUUGGUAUUCAUCAAAUAAGAAGAAUCACUCUAAUGAUAGGUCUUAUGGAAACCAAGGAAGUUUUAGAGGUUCGAGUGCAGAGUUCUCGAUAGAGGCUUUCAAUGAUCCAAAGGGAAUGAAGCUAAUAGAGAAUGCUAAGAACAAAAUGGUUGGAUCAAAUACUUGUUGGCAAAAUGCUUAUCAACAUCUUUUUGCUGGAUGUUCUGAAAUUUUGGCUGCUGAUGAGAAAAGGUCGAGAUUGGCUUGGCAUCUAAGUGAUUGCUUUCAAAGGGAUUCUGGAAGGGUUUCCUUUCCUCGCUGUGACGCAGAAACAUCAAUUGCAACAUGCCUAAGAAACUUAGACGAUCUUGCUCAUAAGGUUUACCUUGAAUUCUACCUCGAAACAAACUCCAUUUGUUAUCAAUUACAGUUAAGUGCAUUUGCUUUUUACCAAACUAUUUGUCAAUUCUUUAUUUGAAUUUUUUUUUUUAUGUUUUUGUUGCACUAUGCAAGAAAAAAAAAUAGUGAACGAAAAAUGCUUAGUGAUAUAUAACUCAUUUGUUAUCAAUUACAGGACACAUGCAUUCAAGCAUGAAACUGAGAGACUUGUGACUGAAUUGAAAAGUUCGGCUCAGUAUGUCGAGGAGAAGCUAGAUAACAUUGAAGAAAAAUCAGAUAAUUUGUUACAAGGCUCAAAACAGAUUUUUGAUUCUCUUGAAUCGGUUAAUAGUCACACACAACUAGUUGCUCAAACUGUUAAGAAUGUUGAAACUCAUAUUGAUGUGGUAUUAAGGCACUCUGAAAGUGUUUACGAACAAACGACAAAAAUUGCAGCAUCGCAGUCACAACUUGAAGAAGGUCAAGAAGACAUGAAGAUGAAGUUAGAGGAUGGUGUAGCAUUGCUCAAAGAAUCUUAUAGUUAUUUGGGAAAAGAAAUAGAAAAGUUAAGAGAGGAAGCCAUUGAGAUUGAGAAUGAAGUUAUCAAAGUUGGAGAUACUAUGUCAUCAAAGAUGAACACUCUACAAACCAAAGCGGAAGAUAUUGGAAAUAUUGCAAGGGUUUCCUUAGAAAAACAACAUGAACUUUUAGAUGGGCAAUCCACAGCACUCAAGGGACUAAAUUCAUUGAACGAGGUUCAAUUCAAAGCAUUAGAGGAAAGCAGGUAAGAUUUAUCAAAUUUUAUAAAUUUGUAUUCAUAAAUCAUAUUAUGCAAAGUGCUAACCUCAUAAUUGGUGAGAUGUAGGAAAAGCCUACAAUAUUUUUCUGAAUAUGGACAUAAGCAACAAGAAGAGCUUUUAAGACGUCAAGAGCAGAUGCAAGGACUUCACGAUCGGUUAAUGGAAAAUUCAAAAACAAUAUUAUCUGCUCAGGUUUGCAACUAUAGUUUCCGAGUGUUAAAUCCUUAUAAACAUGCAUCCUUAAUAUUUUUUUCUUUUGAUUCAGAAGAUCUACUAAUAGUUUAUCUCUACCUAUACUUUAUAGGAAACUUUUGAGGCAAAACAGGCUACCAUGUUUGUUGCUUUGGAUAAAAUCUUUGCUUUGCAAAAUGCCAUGUUGAUUGAAUCAAGAGUGAUUAAAGCUUUCUUCAUUUAUGCGAUAUCAAUCUUUGUCAUCUUCAUGUUGACUAGCACGAAGCAAACCUACAAUGUUCAACCCUUACUUUAUAUUGGUAAGUAUCCCAUCACGGAGUUUGUCUCCUAAAGUGAGAAAAUUAAUGGUUGAUAUUGUAAUCAUCCAUGAUUUGUUAUAGAUGUACUUAU